rnacentral:lncRNA from 1 species
CAGACUCAGGGCUGGGACCCUUGGGACUCAAAAGAGAGAAAAGGUGGAGAAAAGAGAAAGCUACUAUUUUCUUCAUUUUGCCCCUGCUAACAUCCAAUGCACUUAGGAGCCUCGAUGUCUGCUCUCCAAGAGUAAGUUAUUUGGUGUUCCAGAGUACUCUAUAAUCAACUCUUCAGAAAAUCUUGUUACGGUCAGUAGCAUUUUUUUAGUGGGUAGAUGAGGCUUGGGGAGAACAUCUCAGAAGGCAGAGUCCGCACCAGCCUUGUGCACCACUGUGUCCCUGGCAUCCAGCUCAGUGCAGGGUACGUAGCACUCACUCAUAUGUAUUUCAUUCCCUCAUUCAUUUAAUACAUUUAUUGAGUGUCUGUUAUGGGCCAAAGUUAUUCUAAGUGCUGGAGUUAAAGCAGUGAACAAAACAGACAAAAACUCAUCUCUGCCAUCAAGGACCUUGUAUUCCAGUGGAGAGCCAGACAACAAAAUAUAAACAAGUAAAA